UUGAUGUCUGUUACCGUAUACUUAUGAAGAAUAAUCUUCUCUUUCUUGAGUACAAGGCCAACUGGAUAUGGAGCACAGUACUGAGGGUGGAUUAUGGCGGUCGGAAAUGGUGAUGAUGGUGUUGUUGGGGUUAUGAAUGGCAUCAUGUGAGGGUGGAUUAUGGCGGCCGGAAAUGGUGAUGGUGGUGUUGUUGGGGUUAUUAAUGGC
rnacentral:lncRNA from 1 species